GAUAGGGGAGAGAGAAGGAGAAAGGGUUUGUUUAAGAUUAUUUGUUUUUGUUUAUAAAUGUUUUUAAAUAUUUUAAAAAAGACUUUAUUUUUUGGUUUUUAAAUAUUUUAAAAGAUGUUAUGAUUUUUUUUUUUUUUUUUUUUUUAACUUGGAGCCCCCAAAGCCAAGAAAAAUAUUAGCCUACCAUUGACCAAAUUCCUGAGUCCGCCAUUGAACCUAACCACUGAUAGAGCACCCCUCGUCCCCCUAAGAUCAUACUUUUUAUUGAAUUCAAAGAAUGGUUUGAAACUUGAUUUUUGUUGAAUUAUAUUUUUGAGUUAUUCAAUAUUUUGGGAUUAAAUGUUGUUUGAGAUACCAUAUUCUAUUAAUUGAAACUUUACUUUCCAAUUAUUUCUGAGAUUAUUUUACCUACAUGUGAAUUUAUUAUAUUAUGUUCCUAUACAUAAAUUUGCUUGUGUUUUUAGUAAUUUUUCAAGGGUUUGAGAAAACAGAGGGGUUAGUAUGUUCUGUAUAACUAUUUUCAAGAAAAACUUUCUUUUUGUCCACCUACGCUUUUACUGUUUUGUGCCCCCAGGAAGUAGAUAGCUCAUAGUUCGAACGACCAUGUAAGCUACUCCGGCGUCGGUGAAGUCCUUGUAGUUCUACCUAGUAAGGAACUUCGUUUUCCGUUUUCGUUGUUUUUUUGGAACCUAACUUUGUAAAUUUAACUCCAGUAAUUGCUCUGAUAUUUCUUAAAAAGUACGGGUGAGAUGUGUAAAGUUAGUAGUGGGUCCGACAUCGUUCGG
rnacentral:lncRNA from 1 species